rnacentral:rRNA from 1 species
AUACGGAGGAUCCGAGCGUUAUCCGGAUUUAUUGGGUUUAAAGGGAGCGUAGGCGGACGCUUAAGUCAGUUGUGAAAGUUUGCGGCUCAACCGUAAAAUUGCAGUUGAUACUGGGUGUCUUGAGUACAGUAGAGGCAGGCGGAAUUCGUGGUGUAGCGGGGAAAUGCUUAGAUAUCACGAAGAACUCCGAUCGCGAAGGCAGCUCACCGGGCCGGAACUGACACUGAUGCUCGAAAGUGCGGGUAUCAAACAGGAUUAGAUACCCUGGUAGUCCGCACAGUAAACGAUGAAUACUCGCUGUUUGCGAUACACGGUAAGCGGCCAAGCGAAAGCGUUAAGUAUUCCACCUGGGGAGUACGCCGGCAACGGUGAAACUCAAAGGAAUUGACGGGG